rnacentral:rRNA from 1 species
UGAGAAGUCUGACAUGCAGCACCGCCGCGUGAGUGAUGAAGGCCUUCGGAUCUGUAAAGCACUUUUGGCAGAGAAGAACAAGUGCGAGAGUAACUGCUCGCACCUUGACGGUACCUAACCAAAAAGCCACGGCUAACUACGUGCCAGCAGCCGCGGUAAUACGUAGGGGGCAAGCGUUGUCCGGAAUUACUGGGCGUAAAGGGUUCGUAGGCGGUUUCUUAAGUCAGAUGUGAAAGCCCCCGGCUCAACCGGGGAGGGUCAUUGGAAACUGGGAAACUUGAGUGCAGAAGAGGAGAGUGGAAUUCCACGUGUAGCGGUGAAAUGCGUAGAGAUGUGGAGGAACACCAGUGGCGAAGGCGACUCUCUGGUCUGUAACUGACGCUGAGGAGCGAAAGCGUGGGGAGCGAACAGGAUUAGAUACCCUGGUAGUCCACGCCGUAAACGAUGAGUGCUAAGUGUUAGGGGGUUUCCGCCCCUUAGUGCUGCAUCUAACGCAUUAAUCACUCCGCCUGGAGAGUACGGUCGCAAGACUGAAACUCAAAGGAAUUGACGGCGGGCGGGGGCGGCGGGACGGGCGCGGGCGCCCGCGGGGCGAUU